AUCCCGGAUGAGCCCCCAAAUGAAAGAUCCCCAAAGAGAGACCCUUUCUGAAGUCGCGGGAAAUCGCGGACCCCAGACACAAAGAGAUCA
rnacentral:miRNA from 14 species